GACGAACGCUGGCGGCGUGCUUAACACAUGCAAGUCGAACGGUAAGGCCCUUCGGGGUACACGAGUGGCGAACGGGUGAGUAACACGUGGGUGAUCUGCCCUGCACUUCGGGAUAAGCCUGGGAAACUGGGUCUAAUACCGGAUAGGACUCCGGACUGCAUGGUCUGGGGUGGAAAGCUUUUGCGGUGGGGGAUGGGCCCGCGGCCUAUCAGCUUGGUGGUGGGGUGAUGGCCUACCAAGGCGACGACGGGUAGCUGGCCUGAGAGGGUGACCGGCCACACUGGGACUGAGAUACGGCCCAGACUCCUACGGGAGGCAGCAGUGGGGAAUAUUGCACAAUGGGCGCGAGCCUGAUGCAGCGACGCCGCGUGAGGGAUGACGGCCUUCGGGUUGUAAACCUCUUUCAGCAUCGACGAAGCGAAAGUGACGGUAGGUGCAGAAGAAGGACCGGCCAACUACGUGCCAGCCGCCGCGGUAA
rnacentral:rRNA from 1 species